CAGUCGCCGCGGUAAUACGGAGGGUGCAAGCGUUAAUCGGAAUUACUGGGCGUAAAGCGUGCGUAGGCGGUUCGUUAAGUCUGUUGUGAAAGCCCCGGGCUCAACCUGGGAAUGGCAAUGGAUACUGGCGAACUAGAGUGUGUCAAAGGAUGGUGGAAUUCCCGGUGUAGCGGUGAAAUGCGUAGAGAUCGGGAGGAACAUCAGUGGCGAAGGCGGCCAUCUGGGACAACACUGACGCUGAGGCACGAAAGCGUGGGGAGCAAACAGGAUUAGAUACCCCGGUAGUCCCUGUCUCUUAUAC
rnacentral:rRNA from 1 species